rnacentral:rRNA from 1 species
UACGUAGGGGGCUAGCGUUGUCCGGAAUCAUUGGGCGUAAAGAGCGUGUAGGCGGUCCGGUAAGUCCGUUGUGAAAGUCAGGGGCUCAACCCUUGAAUGCCGGCGGAUACUGUCGGGCUAGAGUCCGGAAGAGGCAAGUGGAAUUCCCGGUGUAGCGGUGAAAUGCGCAGAUAUCGGGAGGAACACCUAUGGCGAAGGCAGCUUGCUGGGACGGUACUGACGCUGAGACGCGAAGGCCAGGGGAGCAAACGGG